AUUUAUGUUUUAUCUGUCACUACAUUUUCAGUAAAGUUGGGCAGCGAGCCUUAACGGAGCGAAGGCUGUUAUCACCUCUCCUUAGCCCUUUAAGUGCAGCAGGCUCUUUGGUGUCUCUCGCUGAAUGCCGCUUUGUUAAUUGCGACGGGAAACAGGACCCGGCGCUGAGCAUCGCCGCGCUCUGCCCGGGCGGCACUCGCCACAAACCCGCCGGAUUUGGGAGAGGAGCCCGAGCCCAGGAGUCACACACACGGAAGAGGGUUCGUAGAAGUACUCAGCGUUUCCUGGACUUGCUUCUAUCAUGUAAAAUGUACCGCAUACCUUGAACAAUGUGAAAUCAGUGCAUCUUUUUGAGGGCUAUUUAUGUUGUAGAGGAACUGAGAGGGGAAGGUAAGAGAAGCAUGCAUGUUGCUUUCCAGUGCAGAGAGUCUGCAUUUUUAUCCCCCCACUAUAUAUCAAUGGAUAGAGAAUUCAUUCAUUUGGAACUUACUAAAUGGUGCCAGAAGGCAACAGAAAAUAAUAGCUUAGCUGUAUGAAUGAUACGCAGUUUAUGCCCAGAGUCUGUUAUAAUUUGUUGGGACUUCAGGGUUUAAAAGACAGAUUUUUCAGAAUUUCUGAUAAUCCAAAGUCUAUGCCAACAAGGUUCCAGGGUCACUAGUUAAAAUUAAAAUUCUCCUUUAUGGGUAGAAUAUGCUAUAGCAUGCAUUUGUAGUUGCUGUUCUCAUAUUAGUAGGCAGGAAUAACUCUGUUAUUCUCUGAAAAUAUCUGAAUAAUUUUUCUUCCUUUCUGUUUGAGGAUUCUUGAUUUCCACACAAUCAUCCAUGACAGACUUCUACUGAAAUAUUUUUUUCAAAUCUUUCUGACCAACCACUGCCCUAAAUUCAGGGUUUUGUUAACUUCUCUUUGCUGUUAUUCCUGCUCCCCGUCUGGCUAAACAUAAAAAUUUUCUUUCCUGAUAAGUAGCUUUAAUGGAAUAAGCGCUACAGACCAAACAGAGAGAUCUGUGACCCCAUCUGGAUUUCAGGCUCUCAGUGCAAGCCAGUACCACAGCUUCAGGGGGAUUUGAGCCACACGAGCCCAGGAUGCCGGUGAGAGGCACUGCAGCUCUCCCUGUUUCUCCAGCGAGGUCCACCCGCUGUCCCCGUGUCUGGUCCAGCAUCACACGUGUUCACAAGCUGUGCCACACCACUCCAGCCUGUCCUGCAGCCCAUUCCCCACACCUGUGCUACGGGGCAGGGAGCAGAUUUAGGAUGUGGCUACUCGCAAUCUUUCUCUGUUGCAGCAAUUUCUGGUAGCUGGCUUUGAUAUUUAUCUUCUCUAGGCAAGUGUCCGUGACCAGACAUUUAAACUUUUAAUUUUUAACCAAGUGGCCUGCUUCCAAGCAUCGUCGGAAUUCCUGGGAAAUCAGUGGGCUUUCCAGUACUUCCCAUUGAAAAGUCAUGCUUGCCUGUAAUCCCAUGCUGGGACGAAGAGCACUAACUGAAGUGCAUAUGAGAAAUAGCAAGGGGCAUUUUUACCUCAGAAGCCAAUGAAAGAAAAGGAGUUUAAGCGACAGGAGACUUUGGGGCUUCUGUUUUGUUGCAGUGUGAACAGAGCCAGAGGGCAAAUUCUUCCCUCCUGUUCAGUCUCAUUAUUCUGCCCUCUGUAUAUCCCACCAACCCACUGACAUCCAGAGCAGGGAAAGGAAAAACACACUUCUGGGACCUAGCAGGAGAGCUCCCUAUUCUUCUGUAUGUGUGAGUCUGGUAUAAGCCAAAUCAAAGCGCAUAAUUAAAAUAUUUUCUCCUUUAUAUGUUUUCUGUGAUACAAGUUCUUUGAGGAUUCAAAAUGCCGGGAGGGAUUGCCAGUGUUUCAUCUGGUUAGCUUACGUGCUGAUUGAUGACUUUGAUAAUAUGUGUAGUUUAAUGAUAUUUACACUGUUUGUCCAGUUAGGUAUAUUAAAAGAAUGUUGAGAAAAUAGUAGACGUGCUAAAAUCCUAUGGUAACAGCUCAUACGUUAGUGGUGUUUUGUUGUGAACAAAGUCAUUUUUCAGCCAAGUCAUAAAGUAGCCUAAAAACAAGUGUGGCACUGUUUGCUUCAAAUGAGACUGUUGCCAUGUGACCACCAUUCAUCUGACAUCAUUACUGACAUAGCUUUCCUUAGUAUGAUAUCUGAUUAAGGCUCCCAGCCGUGGUGGAGCCAGACUAAGUAGUCUGAGUGAGGUGGCUGAGGAAAGUUAAUGUGUCAAUGUUACUACUGGGGGAGAGCUUCUGCUCAAACUUUCCUUCGGAGAAUGAGGAUAGAAAUGGCUGAAGGUCUUUCUAAUGGGAAUCUUCUGAAAAUAUUUGAAGAUCUGGUAGUAAUUAACAAUGUGCUGAACUCCAAAGAGAGAUGUAAUUAGUUCAGCAAAACAUAGAGAUUUCCUUCUGUGUGAGGAAAUGCAAAUAUAGAGAAGAACUGAAAAAAGAAAAAUUAGCUAAGAAAUGAAAUUAAUCACACAUUUGCAGAAAUCAAUUCAUUAAAUAUCUGUGUAGCAUGUGAAUAUAUUUCUGGCUUGUACAUGUAAAUAAACAAUUAACCUUUUUUUAGCAUCUAAAUUUCUCUUUUAUUAAAAAAAAUAGAACGUUUGAGGUAUUCUUGUUACCUCAGGAAAAGAUAGUUUUCAACAGGUACAGUGAAAAAUAAUUUGCAAUGUCUGUCUAAGGUGGGAUAAAUUCCACUAUUUCUGUUUUGGCUUUUGAAAUCCACAAAGAUUACCACUUAAUCUAGUAAUCUGGAAAACAUACUGACUAGCCUGCUGUUUUUUGAAAGCAUAAGGAUUAGCCUGAAAAAAUAUCAUAAAGUAAUUUUCUUUAUGAUGGAAUGAAUGGAAUGAUGAAAUAAUUUUUUUUAGUAAUUCCAUUUCCUAAGUCUGUUGUUGCUCUGUGCUCCAAUUUUGGUUAUGAAUAAGGGACUGCUACUAAUAUUGUUCAAUUUUCCCUUUUAAAAUUAGAAUAUGGUAGGUUGUUUCCAUUGCACAGAUGCCUUAAUGCUUGAUAUAUCUAUUAUACUUUGAAGUGCUGUGGGAUUAAGACCCAUCUUAGACUGGUAUGGGACUCAGAUCCACAACAAAGACCUCCAAAGUGCUUCAAGUAUUACCUUCUCCUACUUGAUGCUCAAGUGAUUUAGGAACAUUUACAUUGUCAGGGGUGACAGGGAAGCAUAAACCAAAAAAGUUUUAGUGGGAAGUAUGAUUCCUUGUGCCUAGAUCAUCUUGGGAAAAGGAUUUAGGUCAAAGAGAGGAGUUAAGGGUUUGACACUGGAAAGAGGUAACACUCUCCAGUAGGUUACAUAUAGUUUUAACAAGCACUUUUAGGUGAUGGAAAUCUUUAAUUUAUAGAUUAUAGAUUUAUAAAUGUAUAGAUUAUAAUACUAAAUGAUGGUCUGACCCAUAGUAUCUGGGCACUGACUUUGUCUAGAUGACCAAGAGUCAGCAGUUCAGGAGGUGCACUGCAUUUGCAUGGCACUUUUUCUUAAAAGCACCAUCAAGUGAUACAAGCCACUGCAAAUUCAAAAAGGGAAAAAAACAAAGGAUAUGGCUUCAAGUCAAAUUGCUCAGAUGAGUCUUAUUUUUUCUUGUACGAAUAUACCUGAAGAAAAAUAGAGCCUAUUUCUAAGAAAUACUGAAAUAUUCUUGGUAUGAGUUACUCACCCAUAUUCAAAAUCUUUAAUGGUCUAAAUUCUGUAUCAUUUGGCUUGUGGCCAGCCAAUAGUAAAGGCCAAGAUUUAAUGGGGGAUUAAAUUGUUGCUAUUUGAACAUUAAUUCUUCAAUAAAACAAAUGAAAUGAAUGGAUAGACUUAUACAUUGAGCUGCAGUUUAUUUUUGCAAGAAAAUGUAGUAGAGUCUGCUUUAUCUUCACAUAGUUUGCAAAAAUUUAAUAAAAGGUAUUUGUUUCUGCUCAAAGGAAUAAUGAUAAAAUCACUUCAAAACUGCUGGAAAAAUGCUGGCUAUUAAUCUGCUACAGCCUUUUAAAUGACUGAUCAUACACAUUUAAUCUUCUUUUCCUUUAAUUAGAACAGGUUGUAAUGUGAUAGAUCCAUUUGACAUUAGACUCAGCAACACAUUACUUAGAUGAAAUCACACUUAAGAGUACUGCAGGCUGGAUCUGAGUAGCUCAGCUGAUAAGGCACUGGUUUGUCAUCUACAAGACAACAGUUCAAGACUUCUCUGAUUUCUUAAGUCAAAUUAAUUUAGUUAUGUCAGCUAUGCUGCCAUAAGAUGAUAAUCCAAGCUGCAUGGAUGCCAGGCAUACUAUUACCUUCUUUGGCUAGAUUGAAACUGUGUCAGAAACACUGGGGGUAGCUAGAAUUCAUUGCAGGUGUGGUGAGAAAAAUGGACCACAUGAAUUUCAAGAAUUCUAAAAUAAGUGUCAAUAUAUAAUUGCUCCUUCAAUUCAACAGGUCUAUGUUUUUUUAUUUCCUGUCAGACCCAGAGUGAAACAUGUCACACCCACUUGAACUCUGGUUGGACCUAGGAUCUAUCUAUUAAGUUUACUUAAAAUAACCCCUCAACAAUCUCACUGGAACCCCCAUGUUGCUGCCUUCUCUGUGCAGAGCUCUAGCAUGCAUUAUUAUCAUGACUCAGCAGAGGAAUUAGUCACUUUGUGUGUUUCUAGGCUCAACCAACACAUUGCAAACCAUUCCUCUGAAGCCACACAGUCUCCACUGAAAAACUCUCUUCUAGGGUGCCUAUUUCCUCUAUGAAUUUCCACUGUGACAGUAAAUCUUUACAGGAGAGAUAUGAGGAUAACAGGGCCUAAAUGCUUACAGAGAAAACACAAACAUUCUUGGGCAAAAGUGACUCACUCGGUGAGAGAUAAAGGGGCUGGAAUUUUCCUAAGGAAAUGUCUUAUUAACUUAUGUUUUAUGUCCCUAUCUCUGUCAGAAAAAAACUGUCAUUCUCUCUUACUUCUCCAACAACUUCCAUUUCACCCAAAAUUUUGUAGAGGGAGAAAAUAUAAAAAUAUCCCCCAGUUUUGUCAAAAUAUGUGGCUGGAUAGGGAAACAAAGUCUUUUAUCAGUCCCACUGAUAAAAAAAAAAUAAUAAAAAUCAGCAUGAAUGAUUUGUAUGGAUAUUCAGAAUAUCCACUGAUGAAAAUAUUGUGAUGAAGAUUCUGCAACACAUAUACCCACUGUACUCCCUGCACUGUGCAUAGAUUUCCAUCCCAAAGUAGUAAGUCUGCUGUUUUGUGAAUGUCUAUGAGAGCAUGUUGACAGAAAUCAGCAUAAAAUAAGAAUGAAAUAAUUCUGAUACUGGAAUGAACUGCCCAGAUUUAUGUCACAUUUCAGAAACCUGGAAACACUGGUACCAUUCAGUGACCUUAAAUCUGAAACUAGUGAUGCUAAAAUAACAUCCCGCUCUAUUUUAAUGCCAAGAGAAGGUAUUUAAGCAUGUUGCAAAAGAUUAUGAUAUCAGAGACAGAAAGAGGGGUGCAAAUACAAGUUUGGAAAUAGUGUUGACUGUAGAGAUUCGCAGUUUAGUGAACUUCAAGCGAGGCAACUAAGCUCAGGUGGAAGAUAACUGAUCUCCUGAAAGCAUGCCAUGAGCCACUGUCAUGCUGUUUCCAAGAGACCUUCUUUGUUAUGGAGGUAUGUAAUUGAAUUUCUUAUUCACAAUUAAUAAAUAUACUUUACAUUAGCCUUCUCGUGUAACUUCUGCAUUCAUAUCUCAGUUAUAGGAUUUAGUGAGCUGGUAGCGUAUCUUCAGUUUUUGCAACAGCCUCAGUGAUGAUCAAAUUUCUCAGGAAUGAUUUUCCACAAUCCUUCAGAGCUUGUAAAACUUGUACAUUUAUCAUAGAGCAAAUAAUCUGGUAAGCAGCCAAGCCUUCAUUUUCCGUCAAAGAAUACUAAAAAGAAUCCAAUUCCAGGAAUCUGAUGCAAAUGUGUUUUCUGUGAACUGCUGUGUAUCCAUGCGCAGUUUAGAAGACGACAUGGGAGAAGUUAUUUAAUGAGUAAAAUAUUGUUGUUUCUCCCCCUUUCUCCACCAGAAUUCUACAUAUCAACUUUUCCAAGACACAUAUGCUCUUUUUAAUGACUUGAAAUACUUUCCUAAUGAUUAAAUUCUGCUUAGCUCUAGUAGACUCUUCCAGAACUUUUAUAAGCCAACAAAAUGUAUGCAUCUGAUGAUAGGCUGUAAACAUUCAUUUGUAGGUCACUAAAAGCAAUGCUUGGAAAACUGAACUGUCCAUAACCAACUUUGCUUAACAGCUUGUGUGAUAUUCACUCCUAAAAUUAUGUCUUGUGACUCAAUAAAGACUUUUGGCAGUGCAUAAGUGCUGCCCAGUUGUCCAAGAUGUCCAGCUACUUGGAACUGUGAUGUCUAAAUUUUUUAGUUGCAUUUCCACAGUGCUUCUGAGUCAUGAAAUUCAAGUUGUCUUGAAAUUCAGUAGGCUGCUUGACCUCAAGAUGGAACUUCUUAAAGAUUUGAAAAGUGAAAAUCAAUCAUAUAAUGUGAAAGUAGUGUUUUCAUGCUGGUAGGGAUUUUUGAUUUCUAUACUUUUCAAUGACUUCCAGACACAAAAAUGGGAUAAUUUUAUUAGUGUGAAGCAGAAGGCUACUGUCUGGCACCUUAGAUCUCAGGAGCUUCAGGAGAUAACUGGCAUUUAUACAUUCAGGUGACUGGAUAAAGACCAGCUGGGCCAAAACCAAACAAUGACACGAGGUACUAUCUCCAGUGCAACUUUUAUGGCUGCUCUGGAAAGCUCCUUUUAUUUCUUUGGUAGACUCUCAGCCAUUAUCUGCUCACACAUAAGAUUAAUUUGCUGCCUUUGAGGUAUGCAGGCAGUAGAAAGUAGCAAUAGUAGAAUUAAACAGUCUGGAGAGCAUGGCUGUUCCCCAAGCAAGGUUUUUCUUGUGUUUUGAACUGAAUAUGUGUCUAUGGGUUUCUGGAACACUUUGGCACUUAUCAGCUGAACCACUUCCUGAUGGUCAUCUUAUAAAAGGAGCAACUGGGGCUGGUGUUGGAUUUUGCUUUACCAUGCUACUCAGAAGCUAAUGACAUGACCAGGGAGGAAAAAAAAUAAAAUAAACUGCUAUGGACAUUUUGUGGAAGUUUCUUGAAUGUUGUAUAAUUUUCUUAUAUGAGCAGUGGAGGGUUUUUUUUGCAGAUUUUUACUGAUAUGUACAGAUUCCAUUAAAAUAUGAAAUUUCUCAAACUCCAAAUCAGAAUGGUUCAUAGUCACUUAAUGGUAUUUCAAAGUUCUUUGCUAAUAUUUUGUACUUUGAACCUCCAAAAGAACCAUGCAAAUAAAAGUUUUAAAAAAACCCCAGCAACACAGCCCAAAGCAAAAACCUGGAUGUAACUUUUGUUUUCAACAUUACAAUUUGUAGUUCUUUGGAAUAUCUUGGCAUUUCAGAUGGCACCGUGAAUAAAGAAUUAAGCAGAGAUCA